UAGAUCGUAACAAGGUUCCGUAGGUGAACCUGCGGAAGGAUCAUUCGCACGCAUCCAAUUGAACCACUGUGCAUCUUGACGUGAGGUUCUGAGUAGGGAGCAAUUACCAACUCGGAAACUCAAGGGCAGCAGUGUGGGGUUACCUUCGGCUAGCCUCAUUCCUGCUGUCGGGUUCCACUUGAACUUUUACUUUGUGCUUCCAUGCUUUCUUGUGAGUGGCUCUCCACUCCCAUUCAAAUUCACAACUUUCAGCGACGGAUGUCUCGGCUCGAACAACGAUGAAGGGCGCAGCGAAGUGUGAUAAACAUUGUGAAUUGCAGAAUUCCGUGAACCAAUAGGGAUUUGAACGUAUACUGCGCUUUCGGGAUAUCCCUGAAAGCAUGCCUGCUUCAGUGCCUCUACCUUCUAAUGCCAGUAGCUUCAUGCUCCUUCUUGGUGCUAGCUGCUUGUGCGUAUUUGUGCGUCAGAUUGCGCUUUCGAGUGCGUUUGACGCAUUGAGCACGUGGGGAACCUUUGCUUAUCAAUCAACUCAUUGAGUGUCCUCGGAUGCAUCAUCUGUUGCAUUGUUUGCGAAGGUCGCCUCAACAACCAAGUGCUGUUCAUCAGCCUUCCUCCAAGGCAUGAAGUUAGGUCAGCAAACCCGCUGAAUUUAAGCAUAUGUCGACUGCAGG
rnacentral:misc_RNA from 1 species